rnacentral:rRNA from 1 species
GACGUAGGGCGCGAGCGUUGUCCGGAAUCAUUGGGCGUAAAGCGCGUGUAGGCGGUCCGGUAAGUCCGCUGUGAAAGUCGGGGGCUCAACCCUCGAAUGCCGGUGGAUACUGUCGGGCUAGAGUGCGGAAGAGGCGAGUGGAAUUCCCGGUGUAGCGGUGAAAUGCGCAGAUAUCGGGAGGAACACCGGUGGCGAAGGCGGUUCUCUGGGCCUUACCUGACGCUGAGGAGCGAAAGCGUGGGGGAGGCGAACAGG